rnacentral:lncRNA from 1 species
CAUUGGUGUUGCUACCCUAAUAUUAAGACCACUACUUCUGUGACAGAUUUUGGAUAGUCGGCUGGGGGCUUUUGCAAUCUGAAGUUCGAAAAAAGCCACUUUCUGUUGGUCGUCUAAAGUUGAGUACAGAUGCUUCAUUCUGAGUAGAUGGUUUUUUCAAACGGGGACCGACCAUUAUUCAGGAUCAGACUGGGAUAUCUCAAGGUGGAAGUUGCCGAGGCUGGUAUAGUAUGGCUUCCUUUUUGCCAAACAAAAUGGUUUCGAGCUUGAGGAGACUAAAUGUGACUCGUUAUGUGUUGU